ACAGAAAUAAAAUUAAAGAAAGCACACAAGAAAACAAAAAUUAGAAAAGAAAACAAAAAGACUUAAUCUAAAAAGAAAUGAAAAAACCUAGGUCUGGAAUCCUAUUUUCCUUAUCGCUGUAAACAAACUCCCUUUAUGCAUCAGCUGCUUCAGAGACCCUUCACCCACGAUCAAACAAAUGUUGCCUUUUCAAGCUCUAGUCUCUGUUACUCUCUGCGAGUUCUUCGGACCGAUCCAUCGAUACAAAGUCCGGACUCAACAAUAUCAGUUAUCUUUCGUCAUCGUCGUAACUCCUAUCGUGGUUUACCAGUCCUUCCACUGUGCGUGGUACCUCUUCCAUCCAGUAUCGAGGGCCUUCAUAUUUCUGCCCUUCCAACGCCAACCCAUGUACUGCUUUGUUGGCUUCCCUUGAGAUUAGUUUUCUGAUAACAGUUAACGCAUCUCCCUCAACACAUAUGUCUUGGAAACCCAUUUCUUCUUCCAUAGUAACAGUCUGAAAACACGCCCUCGCCUCGGCCAUGGUCGGAUCUGAGCUAUUCUCCCAUGGGUAAAUCAUGUUAACCACCAGCUUACGAGCUCUCAGUUUAUACAGUACAAGCACAAAUUCGUUAGCGACUCUCCACAAAUGUAUUCGAAUCUUGCUUGGCUCCUUAAGAUCCCAUAUGUUUGUAAAAACCUUAGAUAGAUGUUCAUGUUGUAUUCUAGUUUCCCCUAUUGUAUUCAGCCAUUUUUAACCACUUUUGACCGUAUAAAGCCCUGUUUUCUCGCCUCUUCAAAUUAACACAUCUUGUGGCUCACUGCCCAUCAACAAAAUUAAGAGAAUUCUCUGCAUCUGCUCCUCGCCAAAUAAUGAACGAAUGUCCUCCUGCUUCCAGGUCUCGAUAACCAUGCGUUAUCCUAGAUAUUUACUGUCUUGCCGUCCUCGAUUCUCCAACUAAUCCCCUCCUCAAGAAGACGUCUAGCUCCUCAUAUACUUCACCAGGUAUAGGAAGGUGGCAAGUAGCAUGUGGAGCAUCUGAGGGGAGGCAUGGGUUCGAAUCCCAUGGCAAGCAAGGAGCAUUUAUUUUGCUAACAGGGGGCGGCAAGAGUUGGUGUUGAAUUUAAACUCUGAUGAUGGAGGGAUCCCACAUCAGGAAGCUAACAUAAGGGGGGAUGCGAAGCUGGCUUUAAAUAGAAAGAACCAUGAGGAGAGUAGAGUUACCUUUCUUGGCUGAUCCCUUUCGCUGUAUGGCGUGCUCGUUUGGGUUGGGCGUCGGCUAAGAGUGCUCGGAGCGUUGAUUAACUCUAGUCUCCUAUCAGGUGUGUAUUUCUCACUACUCUAGCUGUAGGAUGCCUACUUCGGGCCGCGAUGGGCCGAAAGGGGCCAUGUGGGCCCAAUAGGCCUACGGGCCCAAUUGGAUAAGUUGUUUGAUUGUGUAAUAAAUAUUAGACUAGGCUAGAUGAAUCUCAUAUCUGUGGCUAGAUUUGGGCUAAAAGGGCCACACGAACGUGUGGGCCCAUUUGGCCUGAGAAUAGGCUUUAGGCCCAUUCGUAUUGUUAUCCCUGUUUAGAAUACUUUAGUUUACCAAAUUACCAAAGUACCCUCGAUUUACAGAAUUAUAGUUCUACCCUCGAUUUAUAGAAUUACCAUUUUACCCUCAAUUUAUAGAAUUACCAUUUUACCCUUGAUUUACAAAAUUACUAAAAUACCCCUGGUUUGUAAAAUUACUAAAAUACCCCCUGAUUUGUAAAAUUACUAAAAUACCCUCGACUUGUAAAAAUUACCAAAGUACCCUCGAUUUAUAGAAUUACUGUUUUACCCUCGAUUUACAGAAUUAGUAUUUUACCCCUGAUUUACAAAAUUACCAUUUUACCCUCGAUUGUGAAAUUACUGAAAUACCCCUAUAGGAUAGAAUUACUAAAACACCCCUAGUUUGUAAAAUUACCAAAAUACCACUGGUUUGUGAAAUUAUCGAAAUACCCUUAAUUUGUAAAAUUACCAAAAUACCCCUAAUUUACAAAAUUACAGAAAUACCUUUGAUUUGUAGAUUUACCAAAACACCCUUGUAGGAUGAAAUGACUAAAAUACCCCUAAUAGGUAAAAAAACCGUAAAGCCCCUGUAGGGUAAGGUGACCGUAAUACCCUUGUAUGGUAAAAUGAUGAAUACGCCCUUAUGUUCUGUAUGACUGAUGUGCUUAGGAUUUACAUAUAUUGAUAUUGGAAUCGUUAAGUUUGAGUGACAAGUGGUAGUUAUCGUAACUGAUUGAUUAUGGAAUCGUUUCAACUUCAACCCGUAACAGGUGUGUACUAACCCUCGUAAUAGCUUAGAUUAAUAUUUGCUGAGAAGCCGAAAUGCUAAAAUACCGGUAUUUCGAGAACUUGUGAUUUUGCCUUUGCUUAAAGUGCGAUAGAUACGAUAUGAUCAGUGGUUGGAUCGAUGGAAUAGGUAAGAGCACAAUUUUGUACACGAUGGUAAGUUGGGCCUCAAUGGGUUGGAAUUGGGCCCAAUGGGCUUUCGGGCCCAUUUGGGUAAAAUUGAUAGAAAAUGGAAACUGGAAAAGUUGCUUGAUAAUACGGUUAGUAUUGUUGUAAAAUUUGGAUUAAGCAGGCUUAGUGGGCUAAAUCGGCAUUCGUAGGGCCCAUUAGAGGUUUUGGGCCUAAAAGCCUGAGUUUGAUAAAGUGGGUUAAAGAUCAUUGUUUAAACACUUGGAAAUAUUGAUAAUUGUUGAUGAACAUGGAAAACCUUGAUAUUUGGUAAAAUUAUGAAAUUACCCUUAUAGUAUGAAAAUGACUGUUUUGCCCUUAGGUAAAAAUGACCAUUAUACCCCUAAGGUUUAAUUAUAAAUUUGAUACUGGGAUAUGAUAUACAUGAUUGAUAUGAUAUGCACAUGAUAUGUAUAAAAUGCACAAGAUAUGUAUGAAAUGCACAUGAUAUGUAUGAAAUGCACAUGAUGUAUUCAUAAAUGCAUUGGGUUGGGUUUUUAUAUGGAUAGAGGAAG